rnacentral:rRNA from 1 species
CCUACGGGAGGCAGCAGUGAGGAAUAUUGGUCAAUGGGCGAGAGCCUGAACCAGCCAAGUCGCGUGAGGGAGUACUGCCCUAUGGGUUGUAAACCUCUUUUGUCGGGGAGCAAAAGCCGGACGUGUCCGGCUGUGAGAGUACCCGAAGAAAAAGCAUCGGCUAACUCCGUGCCAGCAGCCGCGGUAAUACGGAGGAUGCGAGCGUUAUCCGGAUUUAUUGGGUUGAAAGGGUGCGGAGGCGGAAUUUUAAGUCAGCGGUAAAAUCGUGGGGCUCAACCCCAUCCAGCCGUUGAAACUGGGGAUCUAGAGUGUGCGAGAGGUAUGCGGAAUGCGUGGUGUAGCGGUGAAAUGCAUAGAUAUCACGCAGAACCCCGAUUGCGAAGGCAGCAUACCGGUGCACAACUGACGCUCAGGCACGAAAGCGUGGGUAUCGAACAGGAUUAGAUACCCUGGUAGUC